GCCAUCGUAGCUCAGCUGGUAGAGCAACGCUCUCGUAAAGCGUAGGUCAGGGGUCCGAGUCCCCUUGAUGGCU
rnacentral:tRNA from 1 species